CGAUCCCGGUAAUACGGCAACGCCGCCCCCGGCGGCCGCCCUUACCUGCGCCGGGCUCACAUCGUGGGGCCGGGGCCAGCGGUGACCCCCCCCGGCGCCCCUCGGCCGCUGCCUCUUCGCCGCCCUGCGCGGGGCCGCAGGAUGUGCUCUGAAGAUUUCAGCAAAAGAGAAAGAGGGAGCUUGGCUCGACCACCAGAGCAGCCCUGCAGCCUACACCUAGGCAAUCCUGAACCCUCCCUUGUCUGCAAGACCCAUGUUGAGUCUCCCAGGCAGGAAAACUCCGCUCAGAAGUGGCAUACUGAGAACUCUCCCCAGCCAGCCACAGAAUCAUCCUCAUGCCUGCUCCUGCCUUCUCAUUAAAUUACUCCUUUCA